GUGCCAACCAACUGAAUUUGAUGCAACAGGCAAUAGAGAUUAAGCCAAGGAUGAUCCAUAAGAGUUUAAAUCCCGCCAGUGGUUUGGAGCAUCUGUGAGGUCAAAACAGGAUAAAUUUUUGGCCUGUGCUCCCUUGUACCACUGGAGGACUGAGCUGAAACAGGAGAGAGAGCCUGUUGGAAUUUUCUUUCUUCAAGAUGGACCUAAGACUGUUGAGUAUGCUCCAUGCAAGUCAAAAAAUAUUGAUGCUGAUGGACAGGGAUUUUUUUCAAGGAGGAUUCAGCAUUGAUUUUACUAAAGCUGACAGAGUACUUCUUGGUGGCCCUGGUAGUUUUUAUUAACAAUGUCAGCUCAUCUUGGAUCAAGUGGCAGAAAUCUUAUCUAAAUAUGACCCCAAUGUUCAUAGCAUCAAGUAUAAUAAUCAGCCACUCAGACUCCACAAGCAAUUUUUGAUGACAGUUGGGUUACUCAGUGGCUGUCGGAGAUUUCAAUUGUGAUAGCAUAAAUGUCUUUGUUUCAGGAGUUCCAAAAGCAGCAAGGACUCUGGGAGUGGUUUAUUUUUAUGAUGGGAAAAACAUGUCUUCCUUGCACAAUUUUACUGGUGAGCAGAUGGCUGCAUAUUUUGGAUUUUCUGUAGCUGCCACUGACAUUAAUGGGGAUGAUUAUGCAGAUGUUUUUUGAGGCUCUGAUGGCAAACUCCAAAUGGUGGGGUAGGUCUCUGUGUAUCUUCAGAAAGCUUCAGGAGGAUUCCAUACUACAAAGCUGAAUGGGUUUGAGGUCUUGGCACAGUUUGGUAGUGCCAUAGCUCCUUUGGGAGAUCUGGACCAG
rnacentral:lncRNA from 1 species